AGGGAUGAUGCUGCUCAAGUUGAAGCUCGGGUAUAAUUUUCUGACCGCAUCUUGGCCAUCUUCAUACCCGACACAAUAUGAGAUGAAGCUACUUUCGAGGAUCUCUUCCUUGAAUUCUUUCGAACCUCGAAAAUUCUCGACUACCUGACCCAAUGCUUCUCUUGCCGACUCUACUUCUGCCUUGGCCAAAUCAGCAUCGGCUCAAGCAGAAGACAAUUCUUCUUCGACCAGUGCCAACCUUUCCAGGC
rnacentral:lncRNA from 1 species